UGUUGUGAGCCAGGGAGCCACAUCCCUGUUCACAAACCUAAGGGCACAUCAGCCCCUGGAUGUGUGAGCCUUGGAGAUUCAGAAUUGCGGGUGCAGCUAUAACUUUGGAUUUACUCAGUGAGUCAAGCGUCUGCCUCCAAGAGAUGAUGAUGACUGCAAACAAUGCUAUAGUUAAACAAGGAGUGAAGAGAAUAUAAUUGCUCCGUCAAGGUUCUCUACCAGUUUCAAUGUGUGAUUUGGAAGUCAGCAUUUCCCAGUGUGUGGUAAGCCUGAGAAUUAGUGUGUUCAGUAGGCUUCAUACAUGAUGCAAGAAGAACAGCUUGGGAAACCCUAGAACCUGGCCUCAGAGGUCCUUCAGCUCUCAAUUGGAGGUCCCCGGGGGCAAUGAUUCAGUUCCUCCUCCCCUUGCUGAUGGUAAGCUCAGGAGGCGUCACCAUUUGUAAGCUCAACUUCAGUGUCCCCCAAGAGAACAGCCAGCUGGCAGCAGUGCAGAAAGCAGUAAACACAUUGACUUUUCUCUAGUGGCAAUGCCACAUCCAUGACAUUCAAGAAGACUGGGUCUCUGCAUCUAGGCAGCAGAGCCACUGUGGCUUUGCAUCAAGCCCAAGGGCAAGCCCGAUUCCUGCUGUUCGCUGUCUAUGUUGACCCAAAGAACCCCAACUAAUCAGAUGGUGGCCAUCAUGGCUGAAUCGAGCACAGGACUUGGCAGUCUCUGCACAUCCGUGUGAGUCCUCAGGCUCAGGCUGAGCACUGCAUUUCUGCAUCCAGCCUAUGGAUCAAUACUGCACUGAUAGUUAAAUAACAAAUAUUUAUUGUGUAUUUAGUCUUGUCUGCAGUGGUGAUGUAUUUCACAUGCUCAUUUGUUUAAUCAAUAAACACUUACUGGCUAUCUA